CCAGCCUCUAGUGGCUGUCUCAUUGACAGCUGCCUGAGGCUCUUCCGCGAUUCACACUGUGAAGAAGCUGGAUGUCCAUAACAUUGAUAAGCAUUGAUUAAAGCUUUCAUAUGGGCUGUUUGAAUGCGCGUGCGGCUUUUGCCGCGCCUGCGCAUUCAGACCUGACGGGUGGAGAGUUCCCCAGCACAGAGGGAGCCCGGC